UCUGAAGUGUGUCCUUGAGCACUGCACAACACCCAGAUCUUAAUAGUUCCUACAAACAUCUCAUAAUAACAUAAAAAAGUAAUACAAACAAUUUUUUUUGCAAGUAAGGAAAUGAAAGAUCACCAUCUGGGUGAAAGCAAGGCUGUAGUGUCUUGAUUUGGCUGAGAAAACUUAUGCUCAGAGGCAAACUUGGGUCAACAGCCUUCAUGUACUGCUUGGUCCCUAACUUUUUUGCAAGUUGUAUUACUGGCCACAGAUAUAACAGAGAAAAUAACAUGCACUUAGUAUCCAGGCCAGGACCAUAUUGCCAGCUGGGGUAGAGAAUUUGGUUCAAGUAUGGGGGUGCACAGUAGCCUAAGGGUUUUGAAAUGGCUUUACCAUUCCAGAGGUCUACUGAAACAGGAAGGAGCUGGCUUCUCUACUGGCAAUUGAAGAAUGUUUUUAAUAUUCUCGGAUUUACUGAACUGAUUAUAUUAAAUCAAAUUUUA